rnacentral:rRNA from 1 species
UGGGGGAUAUUGCACAAUGGGCGAAAGCCUGAUGCAGCGACGCCGCGUGGGGGAUGAAGGCUUUCGGGUUGUAAACCUCUUUCGCUAUCGAACAAGGCCCGCUUAGGGUGGGUUGAGGGUAGGUGGAGAAGAAGCGCCGGCUAACUACGUGCCAGCAGCCGCGGUAAUACGUAGGGCACGAGCGUUGUCCGGAAUUAUUGGGCGUAAAGGGCUUGUAGGCGGCUUGUUGCGCCUGCUGUGAAAACGCGGGGCUUAACUUCGCGCGUGCAGUGGGUACGGGCAGGCUUGAGUGUGGUAGGGGUGACUGGAAUUCCAGGUGUAGCGGUGGAAUGCGCAGAUAUCUGGAGGAACACCGAUGGCGAAGGCAGGUCACUGGGCCAUUACUGACGCUGAGGAGCGAAAGCAUGGGUAGCGAACAGG